rnacentral:rRNA from 1 species
AUUGAACGCUGGAGGCAGGCCUAACACAUGAAAGUCGAGCGAGAGCCGGACGGGGGCGUAAUGUCUGGGGAGUGCCGGAUAGAGGGGGAUAACGACAGGAAAGGGUAGACAAUACCGCAUACUAUCGGAUAAACCAUAUGGGCUUAGCUCGUAGGUGAGGUAAUGGCUCCCCUAGGAGAAGUUCCCUAGCGGGUCUGAGAGGAGGAGCAGCCACACUGGGACUUAGACACGGCCCAGACUCCUACGGAGGCAGCAGUGGGGAAUAUUGCACAAGGGGCGCAAGCCUGAUGCAGCCAUGCCGCGUGUAUGAAGAAGGCCCUAGGGUUGUAAAGUACUUUCAGUCGGGAGGCGUUACCGACAGAAGAAGCACCGGCUAACUCCGUGCCAGCAGCCGCGGUAAUAC